rnacentral:rRNA from 1 species
GGAAUCUUGCACAAUGGAGGAAACUCUGAUGCAGCGAUGCCGCGUGAGUGAAGAAGGCCUUUGGGUUGUAAAGCUCUUUUGUAGGGGAAGAUAAUGACUGUACCCUAAGAAUAAGGUCCGGCUAACUUCGUGCCAGCAGCCGCGGUAAUACGAAGGGACCUAGCGUAGUUCGGAAUUACUGGGCGUAAAGCGCGCGUAGGCCGUUGAGUUAGUUAAUUGUGAAAUCCCAAAGCUUAACUUUGGAACUGCAAUUAAAACUGCUCGACUAGAGUUUGAUAGAGGAAAGCGGAAUACAUAGUGUAGAGGUGAAAUUCGUAGAUAUUAUGUAGAACACCAGUUGCGAAGGCGGCUUUCUGGAUCAACACUGACGCUGAGGCGCGAAAGUAUGGGUAGCAAAGAGGAUUAGAUACCCUCGUAGUCCAUACCGUAAACGAUGAUUGCUAGAUGUUGGAAAUUUAUUUUCAGUAUCGUAGCUAACGCAUUAAGCAAUCCGCCUGGGGAGUACGACCGCAAGGUUAAAACUCAAAUGAAUUGACGG